AAGGAUUUAAGUUAAGAAAAACUAGCAGCCUUCAAAGUUGCAAAUAGAGAAAGGCUCUAAGCCUUA
rnacentral:tRNA from 1 species